GAUUGAUACUAAGCCAUGCGAGUCUUUGCAGUAAUGCAAGGCAUACGGCUCAGUAACACGUAGUCAACUUACCCUAUGGACGAGGAUAAUCUCGGGAAACUGAGCAUAAUACUCGAUAGAUCAUAAUGCCUGGAAUGGUUUAUGGUUGAAACGAUUCGUCGCCAUAGGAUAGGACCGCGGCCUAUCAGCUUGUUGGUGAGGUAAUGGCCCACCAAGGCGAUUACAGGUACGGGCUCUGAGAGGAGAAGCCCGGAGAUGGGUACUGAGACAAGGACCCAGGCCCUAUGGGGCGCAGCAGGCGAGAAAACUUUGCAAUGUGCGAAAGCACGACAAGGUUAAUCCGAGUGAUUUCUGCUAAAGAAAUCUUUUGCAAGUCAUAAAACCACUAGUGAAUAAGGGGUGGGCAAGUUCUGGUGUCAGCCGCCGCGGUAAAACCAGCACCUCAAGUGGUCAGGAGGAUUAUUGGGCCUAAAGCAUCCGUAGCCGGCUCUGUAAGUUUUCGGUUAAAUCCAUGUGCUCAACGCAUGGGCCGCCGAAAAUACUGCAUGGCUAGGGAGUGGGAGAGGUAGACGGUACUCAGUAGGAAGGGGUAAAAUCCUUUGAUCUAUCGAUGACCACCUGUGGCGAAGGCGGUCUACCAGAACACGUUCGACGGUGAGGGAUGAAAGCUGGGGGAGCAAACCGGAUUAGAUACCCGGGUAGUCCCAGCUGUAAACUAUGCAAACUCAGUGAUGCAUUGGCUUGUGGCCAAUGCAGUAUUGCAGGGAAGCCGUUAAGUUUGCCGCCUGGGAAGUACGUACGCAAGUAUGAAACUUAAAGGAAUUGGCGGGGGAGCACCACAAGGGGUGAAGCCUGCGGUUCAAUUGGAUUCAACGCCGGGA
rnacentral:rRNA from 1 species